UACGUAGGGAGCAAGCGUUAUCCGGAUUUAUUGGGUGUAUAGGGUGCGUAGACGGGAUUACAAGUUGGUUGUGAAACCCCUCAGCUCAACUGAGGAACUGCAACCAAAACUAUAAUUCUUGAGUGCAGGAGAGGAAAGUGGAAUUCCUAGUGUAGCGGUGAAAUGCGUAGAUAUUAGGAAGAACACCGGUGGCGAAGGCGACUUUCUGGACUGUAACUGACGUUGAGGCACGAAAGUGUGGGGAGCAAACAGG
rnacentral:rRNA from 1 species